rnacentral:rRNA from 1 species
ACGAACGCUGGCGGCGUGCUUAACCCAUGCCAGUCGAACGGAAGGGCCCCUUUGGGGGUACUCGAGUGGCGAACGGGUGAGUAACACGUGAGUAACCUGCCCUUGACUUCGGGAUAACUUCAGGAAACUGGGGCUAAUACCGGAUAGGAAUCCUUGCUGCAUGGUGGGGGUUGGAAAGCUUCGGCGGUUUUGGAUGGACUCGCGGCUUAUCAGCUUGUUGGUGGGGUAGUGGCUUACCAAGGCUUUGACGGGUAGCCGGCCUGAGAGGGCGACCGGCCACAUUGGGACUGAGAUACGGCCCAGACUCCUACGGGAGGCAGCAGUGGGGAAUAUUGCACAAUGGGCGGAAGCCUGAUGCAGCAACGCCGCGUGCGGGAUGACGGCCUUCGGGUUGUAAACCGCUUUCAGCAGGGGCGAAGCUUGUGGUGACGGUACCUGCAGAAGAAGCACCGGCUAACUACGUG